UACGGGGGGAGCAAGCGUUGUUCGGAUUUACUGGGCGUAAAGGGCGCGUAGGCGGCCAGCACAGGUCAGUUGUGAAAUCUCCGAGCUUAACUCGGAAAGGUCAACUGAUACUGUGCGGCUAGAGUGCGGAAGGGGCAACUGGAAUUCUUGGUGUAGCGGUGAAAUGCGUAGAUAUCAAGAGGAACACCUGCGGCGAAGGCGGGUUGCUGGGCCGACACUGACGCUGAGGCGCGAAAGCGUGGGGAGCAAACAGG
rnacentral:rRNA from 1 species